rnacentral:rRNA from 1 species
CCUACGGGUGGCAGCAGUGAGGAAUAUUGCGCAAUGGGGGCAACCCUGACGCAGCAACGCCGCGUGAGUGAGGAAGGUUUUCGGACCGUAAAGCUCUGUCGAGUGGGAAGAAAUGCAUAAUGGCUAAUAUCCAUUGUGCUUGACGGUACCGCUAAAGGAAGCACCGGCUAACUCCGUGCCAGCAGCCGCGGUAAUACGGGGGGUGCUAUCGUGCGUCGGAAUUAUUGGGGGGGCAGGGCGUGUCAGCGGUGAAAGCCCUGGGCUUAACCCAGGAAGUGCAUUUGAAACUGUUCAGCUGGAGUAAGGGAGAGGAAAGUGGAAUUCCUGGUGUAGAGGUGAAAUUCGUAGAUAUCAGGAGGAACACCGGUGGCGAAGGCGACUUUCUGGCCCUAUACUGACGCUGAGACGCGAGAGCGUGGGUAGCAAACAGGAUUAGAUACCCGAGUAGUC